rnacentral:rRNA from 1 species
AGCAGCCGCGGUAAUUCCAGCUCCAAUAGCGUAUAUUAAAGUUGUUGCAGUUAAAAGCUCGUAGUUGAAUUUCGGGGUUAGUAGGUCGGUCGUGCCUCAGGUAUGUACUGGUCUCACUGAUUCCUCCUUCCUGAUGAACCGUAAUGCCAUUAAUUUGGUGUUGCGGGGAAACUGGACUGUUACUUUGAAAAAUUGAGUGUUUAAAGCAGGCUAACGCUUGAAUACAUUAGCAUGGAAUAAUGAAAUAGGACGUUCGAUCCUAUUUUGUUGGUUUCUAGGAUUGACGUAAUGAUUAAUAGGGAUAGUUGGGGGCAUUAGUAUUCAAUUGUCAGAGGUGAAAUUCUUGGAUUUAUUGAAGACUAACUACUGCGAAAGCAUUUGCCAAGGAUGUUUCCAUUAAUCAAGAACGAAG